ensembl:snRNA U6 U6 spliceosomal RNA
UUGCUUGUUUCAGCAGCAUAUAUACUAAAAUUGGAAUGAUACAGAGAAGAUUAUCAUUCUGUGCAAGAAUGACAAGCAAAUGCAUGAAGCAUUCCACAUAUUU